rnacentral:RNase_P_RNA from 1 species
AGGCGACAUCGUUCUAUCGCUUCAAAUUUUGUUUUGAAGAGGAAAGUCCGGGCAACAUAGAGUAUCAUACUACCUAACGGGUAGGCAAGCGUUAUAUAACGUUUGACAGCAAGUGCCACAGAAAAAUACCGCCAAAGUUUUGGUAAGGGUGAAAAUGUGAGGUAAGAGCUCACAAAUUAUGUUAGUGAUAACAUAAUUGGGUAAACCUUAUGAGUUGAAAGACCAAAUAUAUCGCAGAGUAUGUUUUCAUAAUACGUACAAGAAGCUACUCGUUUCUUUGCGAGGGGUAGGUCGUUAGAGGUAUAUUGUGAGAUAUAUCCCAGAUUAAUGAUAGAAACAGAUUUGUGAUUACACAUAAAUAAUCAUUCUGUACAGAACCCGGCUUAUAGAUGUCGUCUUUUG